rnacentral:rRNA from 1 species
UACGUGAGUGGCGAGCGUUAUCCGGAUUUAUUGGGCAUAAAGCGCACGUAGGCGGCAGCUUAAGUCAGAUGUUAAAUACUAUAGCUCAACUAUAGUCUGCAUUUGAUACUGGGUUGCUAGAGAUCAGGAGAGGGAAGCGGAACUCACAGUGUAGCGGUGAAAUGCGUAGAUAUUGUGAGGAACACCAGUGGCGAAGGCGGCUUCCUGGACUGAAUCUGACGCUGAGGUGCGAAAGCGUGGGGAGCGAACGGG